ensembl:misc_RNA 7SK 7SK RNA
GAAUGUGAGGGUGAUCUGGCUACGACAUCUGUCACCCCAUUGAUCCUCAGGGUUAAUUUGGCGGAUCGAGUUGGGUAGGUGAGUGUCCCCUUCCUCCCUCACUGCUCAUGUGCAUUCCUCCCAAAGCUGCAUGCUGGGUUGAAAAGGAUGAGCAUCUCCCAUAGAGGAGUAGCAGCACUUCCCUGCUAGAACCUCCAAACAAACUCUCAAGAAUCAAGAUAAGCUGUUGAAUUUAUUAUGUAAUUUGUUUCUUCAAACUAUGGAACAUGUUUAUAAAUU